GUCAUCCCCAAACCUGGCACAUGGGCAGCUUUCUCUUUGGGAAGGUUUUAUGAGCAUCUCCACAGGAAUAAUAACAGAAAACCAGGACACGGGGACGGGAGAGCCGUUCCAGGAGUCCCUCCAGCUGUGUCCUUACCCACAUCUCUGGCUCACAAUGCACUGUAACAUGCAGACUCCUCUCAACAACCUUCUUCCUGUCUCCUGAUUCUCCUCUCCUUCUUUCGGGGCAAUGACUCCUGCCAUCAGGUGGCAGACCCUCCGUGUGACCUCAGCACUGACGUGACUACCAUCCUAUCUCCUCUCCACUCUUCAGCUCUUGGCUGAUGACCAGAUUCCUCCCACUGUGACACAGGAAAGUCCAAGGAAACAUAAGUUAAGCAGGAACACGAGAGUUGGCUAGGGGAGCUCAAAGAUCUCCAUCAAAGUAGCUGGGGCUACUUAGAAGGAAUCGGGUAACUGCUGGAGCUGGCGCUGUGCAAGCAACUUCACUAGUAGAGAUGCCACAUCAAGACAAGGAGGAGAAAUGCUGGUCUGUCCGUUGUUUACAAGGAGACAGAGCUGACCUGGCUCUUCAAACACGGGACAGGAGACACAGACACUACAAAAAUCAGAGCAGACAAACUCCACGUCAGCAAUGGAUGCUAUGUGGAGAAGCCCCUCACGCUUCUCUUGAUCAAGCAAGGAGUAAAGGAGGGAGACAUUGCCCUCCUGAUGGCCUGAGAGCAUCCAGUCAGCCAGGAGAUAAAACCAGGGUGGAGAAUGAGGAAGGGAGAACCAGCUCUUUAGCAUUUCUUUCCCAUCCAUGCCUUUCACUGCUGCUGCCUCCCCAAUGUCUGGCCAGUCUGCCACCACCAUCAGAAUGGGUCAACUGUGAACUUUUUUUUUCAUUCAAGAUAAUCGCAACUGAACAGAAAAUAUGUGGUGAUUUGAUAUACCUUGCACCUACUUUCCCCAAAUGUUAACAUUUUGCA